rnacentral:rRNA from 1 species
GACGAACGCUGGCGGCGUGCUUAACACAUGCAAGUCGAGCGGUAAGGCCCUUUCGGGGGUACACGAGCGGCGAACGGGUGAGUAACACGUGGGUGACCUGCCCUCAGCUCUGGGAUAAGCCUGGGAAACUGGGUCUAAUACCGGAUAUGACUCCAUGACGCAUGUUGUGGGGUGGAAAGCCUUGUGCGGCUGAGGAUGGGCCCGCGGCCUAUCAGCUUGUUGGUGGGGUGAAGGCCCUACCAAGGCGACGACGGGUAGCCGGCCUGAGAGGGCGACCGGCCACACUGGGACUGAGACACGGCCCAGACUCCUACGGGAGGCAGCAGUGGGGAAUCUUGCGCAAUGGGCGAAAGCCUGACGCAGCGACGCCGCGUGAGGGAUGACGGCC